CAAGCGUACACGGUGGAUGCCCUGGCAGUCAGAGGCGAUGAAGGACGUGCUAAUCUGCGAUAAGCGUCGGUAAGGUGAUAUGAACCGUUAUAACCGGCGAUUUCCGAAUGGGGAAACCCAGUGUGAUUCGUCACACUAUCAUUAACUGAAUCCAUAGGUUAAUGAGGCGAACCGGGGGAACUGAAACAUCUAAGUACCCCGAGGAAAAGAAAUCAACCGAGAUUCCCCCAGUAGCGGCGAGCGAACGGGGAG
rnacentral:rRNA from 1 species